rnacentral:lncRNA from 1 species
GCGGAUCCUUCACCAACAGUGAAGCACCAUCUUCUUGAUGCUGAUCUCCUGAUACUGAGCUCUCAUGAGAUCUAGUUGUAUAACAGGAUGUCGCACCUCUUUCCUCUCUCUGUCUUGCUUCUACUCCUGCCAUAUGAAACAUUUCACUGCUGCUUGGCCUUCUGGUAUAAUUGGGAGGCUUCCUGAGUCCUCCUAUAAGCAAAAACCACUAUGCUUUCUUUACAGCCUGAAGAACUGGCCUCAGUGCAUGGGCGGUGUCCAACCUCUGGUGCUGAAUCAGCCAAGAGAUCCAAGCCUGCUUGGCUGCCUCUUAGGAUAUGAAAGCACAGCCACUGGGCUCUACUGAAUCCUAUGCAACCUCAGAAGACACCCAGGAGUGAUGCCAUCACGUGGUGCAAGAGUUCUGAGGGACCGCAAUCCUGAAGACAUUGAAUGGUGGGUGCAGGGCCUCAUGGCCUGUUCCACAGCUCCUCUCAUUGGCUCUGCUCCAGGUGGUGAAGGGGGAUAACAUUUCUGUCAAUUCUGCCAUGAUUGCCUAGCAGGAAAAGGAGCAGAGCCCAGAAGCAGGGCCUGGUAUGCAGCCUGCCUAACAAGGGAGAAUUUAUAGGCUCUGUGGACGGAAAGAUCUGGGAGUCCAUAUCUAUCACGCACUAGCUUGCUGAGACAUUAGUAAAGUCAGUUUUCUGAACUACAUUUCUGUCAUCUGUAAAUUGAGAGGAAUUUCUUCUACCCCACGAGGCUUCUUGGAUAGUUAGUGACAGUGUGUGUAGAGCAGGUGCCAUCCAGCCGGCAUUUGGUGUCCAGACCACUCCUCUUCCCCCUUGAUUUUCUGCCUAAAUUUGCAUUUUGUUCUUAAGAUUUUCACUCCCCUUAAUUCUGCUCUUCCCUCUGAUUUCUGCCUUACUGUAUAUCCCAUGGAGUCACCAGGAUCAAAGUGGGUAACCGUCAUGUAUGCAUGUAUGUGUGUGUACAUAUACACAUUGCUGGGGUUGGAGUGUGGUGUGUGGGUAAGUGUGAGUUGGAAUCACUGACUAAAACUCUCCACACCAGGCUGUGUUCCUGCUCAUUGCUGGAGGCACUGUCAGGGGCCCUGUCCUCAACCCCGGGUCUGACACUUGCAGAUCAGGCAGGACAUUCUGGAGGAAUCAUGCCCUUGGAAGGAUCCCUGAGGAGUGACUGUUGUUAGAUUAAAAAACAGUGGCAAAGAGCAAUACAGAGAGUUGCCAAAAUUCACACCGCUGGUCCAGGUUUGAAGCAAGCAAUCUGUACCUGCAGUCCUUGUCUGUAACCAUGGCACCCUGGCUUCUCACACAUCUCAUCGUGGAGUUCCACCAUGUGUCAGGCAUGGCACUGAGCACCUUCUUUUAAGAAUAUAAUUUGUAAUUAUGUAGAUUCUUAAUUCUACUUCAAAAUGCCACACAGCCUUCAUGUGAUAAAAUGAAACAAUUGCUCAACUGAUCUCCUGGGAUCUCUACUAAGAUGUUGGCAGCCCGGUCAGCUGGUCUGGCCCUGGACGUGCCUUCAGGGUCUGGUUAUGCUUCAUGACCUGCAUUGUGGUCAGUGCCAUUUUGCAGACUUUGAUCACAGUGAAACGUUCCAUGGGAACUUGGGCCAUGAGAAACAUCCUUCCUAACCACGUGACUGCAGAAACAUCCUUAUCACAUCCUCCUGGGCAAAGGCCCAACAGCCUGACUGCAGGGACAUCCUUGCCAUAUCCUGCUGGGCAGCAAGCUCUACCACCCAGAUCCCUCCCUCCCAGUCCCAUGAUUACCCCAGCCUGUGAGUGGCAGUUGGUUCUGGCACUAAGCUGGUUUCCUCCUCCCCAGGGUUUUGCUGGCAAUAAAGAUGUUGCUGUUGAAGCCACCAACUGUCCCUCUGUCUUUCUUUAACCCUCGC